ensembl:snoRNA
AGAAUCAGUAUUAAAAAAGUAAGAAAUGUUAAUGGACAGGUGCAAAAAUAAAAUCCUCUUUUGCAACCCAGAACUCAUUGCUCACUAUGAGUUUUGAUUCAUAUAAGAAGGAAUAUU